rnacentral:rRNA from 1 species
AUUGAACGCUGGCGGCAGGCCUAACACAUGCAAGUCGAACGGUAACAGGAAGCAGCUUGCUGCUUUGCUGACGAGUGGCGGACGGGUGAGUAAUGUCUGGAAAACUGCCCGAUGGAGGGGGAUAACUACUGGAAACGGUAGCUAAUACCGCAUAACGUCGCAAGACCAAAGAGGGGGACCUUAGGGCCUCUUGCCAUCGGAUGUGCCCAGAUGGGAUUAGCUAGUAGGUGGUGUAACGGCUCACCUAGGCGACGAGCCCUAGCUGGUCUGAGAGGAUGACCAGCCAAGCUGGAACUGAGACACGGCCCAGACUCCUACGGGAGGGAGACGUCGGGGAUAUUGCAGAAUGGGCGCAAGCCUGAUGCAGCGACGCCGCGUGUAUGAAGAAGGCCGUCGGGUUGUAAAGUAGUUUCAGCGGGGAGGAAGGGAGUAAAGUUAAUACCUUUGCUCAUUGACGUGACCCGCAGAAGAAGCACCGGCUAACUCCGUG